UACGGAGGGUGCAAGCGUUGUCCGGAUUUAUUGGGUUUAAAGGGUGCGUAGGCGGCUGAAUAAGUCAGCGGUGAAAGACUUCGGCUUAACCGGAGCAGUGCCGUUGAUACUGUUUGGCUUGAGUGUUGGAGGGGUACAUGGAAUUGAUGGUGUAGCGGUGAAAUGCAUAGAUACCAUCAGGAACACCGAUAGCGAAGGCAUUGUACUGGCCAACAACUGACGCUGAGGCACGAAAGUGUGGGGAUCGAACAGG
rnacentral:rRNA from 1 species